UACAGGGGGGGCAAGCGUUGUUCGGAAUUACUGGGCGUAAAGGGCUCGUAGGUGGCCAACUAAGUCAGACGUGAAAUCCCUCAGCUUAACUGGGGAACUGCGUCUGAUACUGGAUGGCUUGAAUCCGGGAGAGGGAUGCAGAAUUCCAGGUGUAGCGGUGAAAUGCGUAGAUAUCUGGAGGAAUACCGGUGGCGAAGGCGGCAUCCUGGACCGGCAUUGACGCUGAGGAGCGAAAGCCAGGGGAGCAAACGGG
rnacentral:rRNA from 1 species